GAUGAACGCUGGCGGCGUGCCUAAUACAUGCAAGUCGAGCGAACAGAUGAGGAGCUUGCUCCUCUGACGUUAGCGGCGGACGGGUGAGUAACACGUGGAUAACCUACCUAUAAGACUGGGAUAACUUCGGGAAACCGGAGCUAAUACCGGAUAAUAUAUUGAACCGCAUGGUUCAAUAGUGAAAGACGGUUUUGCUGUCACUUAUAGAUGGAUCCGCGCCGCAUUAGCUAGUUGGUAAGGUAACGGCUUACCAAGGCAACGAUGCGUAGCCGACCUGAGAGGGUGAUCGGCCACACUGAAACUGAGACACGGUCCAGACUCCUACGGGAGGCAGCAGUAGGGAAUCUUCCGCAAUGGGCGAAAGCCUGACGGAGCAACGCGGCGUGAGUGAUGAAGGUCUUCGGAUCGUAAAACUCUGUUAUUAGGGAAGAACAAAUGUGUAAGUACUAUGCACGUCUUGACGGUACCUAAUCAGAAAGCCACGGCUAACUACGUG
rnacentral:rRNA from 1 species